CUAAAUAACUAUAAUAGAGUCCAACACAUGUCCGAAAGAUAUAAAAUAUCCUUUGAAUGUUCUCUGGCUGUCCUUUAUUUAUUUAGCAAAAUAUUUACAUUCGUUAUCAAUUAAUAAACUUAUUUUCUGAGCAAAAGAAAGAAAUUAAUUUCGCUUUCUCUUUUAAUAACUUGAUUAAUUUCUGAAGUUUGCUGUUAGGAACUUUCGCCAAAUUUGUUUCAAAGUUGAUUCCGGUAUCAAUGAUUUUUCUAGAAUGAAAUAAGAAAAAUGAUAGAAUAUAUAGCGAAAAAGGAUAUAUGGGAACCUCUGUGCCGCACCAUACCGUCGUGCACAACGUGACACAAGCCAGGCCUGGCUGGUCGGUGGCCCCGACUAGCUUCCAGGGCCGUAAGCAAGAAUCUUGCCAUCUGUAUUAUUUAUCUUUCCGAUAUCUCGUUCGAUAAAAUUAUACAUUACAACGGAAAAGUAGAUGUAAGACUACGUAAAAAACGCAAUUAUACCAAUUUCGAUAUCGUCGUGUCAAGCAUUGCUGAUGGGAACCAAAAUCACAUUUAUAUCAUUCUUAUACAAGACAAUAGUCAUAAACGGACAAUAGACAAGCUAAUCUAGACUAGGUAAUUGUAAUUCAAUUAUAACUCAAGUUUGAAGUCCAGAUGUGCUAUUAGCUGGCAAACAAUUAGCUAAAUUUUAGCUGUCCCUAUAUAUUACAACUUUGAUAGCUAAUAUUUAUAGAAUUCUGCGUUAAAUUAUAGCUAAAAAAUAUUAGUUGUUAGCUAAAAUUUAGACAUAUGAUACCUAAAAGGUUGUAACAUAGAGACAACUAAGCUUGAGCUACGGUGGCUAAUGUUUUUUAUCGAUCGGGCCUUAAAAACAAUCCCUUCGCCCUCUGUUUAGGGCCAGUCUUGGCAGUGCAAUUGCGACACGAGACUGCCAUUAGUCGGCCGACUCGACCAAGAAAACCUAGAACGCGGGGGUAAGAAAACAGGCAACAGCUGUUCGGUCGUAGCGAGAAGUCCAGCUCUGAACUCACGGGGCACAUAUCCCCGGCUUGCGAUGUACGCUGAGAAAAAAGACAACUGCUAGGCGAAGUUCGAGGAAACUCUGGAGCAAAUUCGUCACGCCCAUAUCCCGGGUAAACUCUGGCGCCAGCCAGCAUUCGAGAGGCGAGGACGUACUUCCUAUUAAAAAUCGUACAGAUAAGCUAUCGAAAUUAUCGGAGCGCUCUUUCGGUACUGCCGGGCCUGUUUACAUCUCGGAGGAAGUGAGAUAUAGAUUUUGUGCCGAGUUUGCACAAGUCCCCGACUGUAUCGUGGAAGCGACGGCCGUCGCACGACGACGUUCUCUGCGGCAACUUAAUCCGAGGAUUGGAGUAAUUGAAUAUCCUCGACCCUCAAUGUCAUCCUUGAUGCUCCGAAUUUCACCGAGCUUGCACCUUGCUGGCCAAAUUUUACGCUUCAAAAAUAUAUUAUCUCAAAAACUUGCAAGAGCGUAAUAACGAAGCGAUGUCAAAAGUGACUUAUGUAUAAAGUCGUCUCUCAUACAAGAUCUCUUCUAAAAAUACAUUUAAAAAUAUAUUUUUUAAAUAAAUAAAUGUCUUUACUUGCGCGAUUCAUAUUUAUUUUAUAUAACGAAAUAAAUUCAGCUUGAAAGUUUAGGAUCUUUGAAUUCUGAAUUUCGCGAAGCUUGAACAAAGCUUGUACUAUCCAAAUUUUAAACUUAAAUCUGAAAAACUUGUAGAAACAAAUCACGAAAUAAUAUAAAUAUUAAUAUCAAAA